CAGUCGCCGCGGUAAUACGGAGGGGGCUAGCGUUGUUCGGAAUUACUGGGCGUAAAGCGUACGUAGGCGGCUUUGUAAGUUAGAGGUGAAAGCCUGGUGCUCAACACCAGAACUGCCUUUAAGACUGCAUCGCUUGAACGUCGGAGAGGUGAGUGGAAUUCCGAGUGUAGAGGUGAAAUUCGUAGAUAUUCGGAAGAACACCAGUGGCGAAGGCGGCUCACUGGACGACUGUUGACGCUGAGGUACGAAAGCGUGGGGAGCAAACAGGAUUAGAUACCCCAGUAGUCCCUGUCUCUUAUAC
rnacentral:rRNA from 1 species